rnacentral:rRNA from 1 species
UACGGGGGGGGCAAGCGUUGUUCGGAAUUACUGGGCGUAAAGCGCGUGUAGGCGGCCCUGCAAGUCGGAUGUGAAAUCCCACGGCUCAACCGUGGAAGUGCAUUCGAAACUGCAGGGCUAGAGUCCUGGAGAGGAAGGUGGAAUGCUUGGUGUAGCGGUGAAAUGCGCAGAUAUCGGGAGGAACACCAAUUGCGAAGGCAGCUCGCUGGAACGUAACUGACGCUGAGACGCGAAAGCGUGGGGAGCAAACAGG